UACGGAGGGUGCAAGCGUUAUCCGGAUUCACUGGGUUUAAAGGGUGCGUAGGUGGGCAGGUAAGUCAGUGGUGAAAUCUCCGGGCUUAACCCGGAAACUGCCAUUGAUACUAUCUGUCCUGAAUACCGUGGAGGUGAGCGGAAUAUGUCAUGUAGCGGUGAAAUGCUUAGAUAUGACAUAGAACACCAAUUGCGAAGGCAGCUCACUACGCGAAUAUUGACACUGAGGCACGAAAGCGUGGGGAUCAAACAGG
rnacentral:rRNA from 1 species